CUGGUUUUCACCUGCUUUCCUUUUGCUGAUAAAUCCCAUCUCCAUUUAGGUGAAGUCAGCAGAUUAGGCUUCAACAUAAAGGACAAUGUAUCUAGAAAAGUAUACAGGCUUUAAGUUCAAGGGUGGCCAACCAUCCCAGUUCACCAGGAACCGAGUAAGUUCUCAAGACGAAGAAUUUUCAUUGUUAAAACUGGGAAAUUUCUGAGCAAAAUACAAUAAGUUGGUCACCCUACCAGUUGCUCAGG
rnacentral:lncRNA from 1 species